rnacentral:rRNA from 1 species
UUUUUUAAACUUAACUCCUGAAUGUGCCCAAUCUCAUCUGAUCGUAGAAGCUCAACAGCCUCUGGCCUGCUUAGUACUUGGAUGGGAGGGGGAGAAUUUCAGGAGAAAAAGC